CUAAUGAGUGGAGCAUCGCCACAAGAAAAAUAGCUGCAAAAUUGUUGACACAAAGGACAGAAAUUUAUGUCAUCAGAAAUGCACUUUAAGUGAAAGGAAUGUGAGCAUCCCUCAAAUGUCAUCCAAGCUUUGUCUCCAGUUACUGUACAACUGGGGACAGAACAGUGAGGAACAGCAUAUGUGUGUUCAUUGCAACUGUUUGUAGCAGAUGACGAAAGUUGGAACUGGCUGACUGAACUUUAACAUUGUUUCAUAUACUAUUUGGUGACUGUAG